rnacentral:rRNA from 1 species
UACGUAGGUGACUAGCGUUGUCCGGAUUUACUGGGCGUAAAGAGCGCGCAGGCGGUCGUUCAAGUCGAGUGUGAAAGCCCCCGGCUCAACUGGGGAGGGUCACUCGAUACUGAUCGACUUGAAGGCAGGAGAGGGAAGCGGAAUUCCCGGUGUAGUGGUGAAAUGCGUAGAUAUCGGGAGGAACACCAGUGGCGAAGGCGGCUUCCUGGCCUGUUCUUGACGCUGAGGCGCGAAAGCGUGGGGAGCGAACAGG